AUUGAACGCUGGCGGCAUGCUUUACACAUGCAAGUCGAACGGCAGCGCGGGCUUCGGCCUGGCGGCGAGUGGCGAACGGGUGAGUAAUGCAUCGGAACGUGCCCAGUAGUGGGGGAUAGCCCGGCUAAAGCCGGAUUAAUACCGCAUACGACCUGAGGGUGAAAGCGGGGGACCGAAAGGCCUCGCGCUAUUUGAGCGGCCGAUGUCGGAUUAGCUAGUUGGUGGGGUAAAGGCUUACCAAGGCGACGAUCCGUAGCUGGUCUGAGAGGACGACCAGCCACACUGGCAACGAGACACGGCCCAGAUUACGCGGGGAGGCCGCAGUGGGGAAUAUUCGGCAAGGGGGGAAACCACGAUCGAGCAAAGCCGAGUGAGGGAAGAAGGGCUUCGGGUUGUAAACCACUUAUGUUCGGGACGAACGCAUAUGGGCUAAUAUCGCGGGGGGAUGACGGUAGCGAAAGCAAAAGCAAUGGCUAACUACGUG
rnacentral:rRNA from 1 species